UGGAAAGGAAAGAAUGUAAGAGAAAAAGAACAGAACAGAGCAGAGGGUGCCAGUGUGAAAUAAUGCCAAGGAAUCUCUGGGGAGGUUCUAUACUCUGUGGUCAGCCUGCCAGACCUGCCGUGCCUCAGCAAGUGGGUGCUCAAGCUCCCUCGAGAUGAAACCUGACCUUGAGAUGGGCCAGUGAGCAUGAGAUGAUUCAGGCAGAAGAUCAUUUCUCAGUUUGGUAUCCUCGAGGCAGCCCUAAUGGAGGCUGUGAAGCAUCAUGUUGGAGAAACUCUACCCCAUGGGGCAGAGGUUUGGACUUUCUCCUCCCCCAACUCCUCCCUUCAACACCUAAGCUCUCCCACAGCAGCUGCCCUGGGGUGAAAUCCUUGUGAAAUUUUAAGUACCUACAAGCCUGCUUCUUAGGACCACAGCAUGUCACCCAACAUCACUGAUCUUAAAUUUACCCAUCCACAGUAUAAAGACAAUAAUGUUUACCUACUGGUAUAAUAUUGAGGAUUUAAGGAGAUGAAGUAUGAGAAAACGUUGUAAGCUAGAAAAAUCUGUACAACAUACUAUAAGUACUCUCAGAAGUAUUAUUGAACUCACCUUUGCCAUUUCUUAACCAACUCUGAACCAAAGUCUCCAUUAACUGCAAGACGCAUUAUUAUUUUACAGACAAAAAUGAGGUGCCGUCGAUUAAACUGAAACCCAACGCA